rnacentral:lncRNA from 1 species
UCUGACCUCCCCCGUAUAAAAUAAUCCCACCCCACCUCCUUCUCCCUCUCUCUCUCUCUCUCUCUCUCUGUGCGUGUGGCAAAGGGUGUCUCUUGUCUGUAACUGUUCAGUUCUUGGGGUUGCUUGGAGUACACAGGGCAUUUCAAUUCGUGGUUUCAGUUUCGUGGAAUUAAUUUCAUGCUGGUAGAGAGGUAGGCGUUUAUGGUGGUCAGAGCCUCUGCGGGUUCCAGAGCCUCUCUCUCUCUCUCUCUCUCUGUGCGUGUGGCAAAGGGUGUCUCUUGUCUGUAACUGUUCAGUUCUUGGGGUUGCUUGGAGUACACUGGGCAUUUCAAUUCGUGGUUUCAGUUUCGUGGAAUUAAUUUCGUGCUGGUAGAGAGGUAGGCGUUUAUGGUGGUCAGAGCCUCUGCGGGUUCCAGAGCAUGUUGUUUAGUCGCAGAGAGAUUGAUUAAAUCUCUCUUCUUUCCUUUUUUUUUUUUUUUUUGUGUUUCCUCCACCGAAGGGAAGGGAAAAAAAAAGAGAAUUUAUUGCGUUGCUUUGCUCUCACUGUACGCGGGGGUCCCUGGCUUGCUGAUCUGAUUCCCUUCCUCCACGAUCUUGCUUCAAGUGUUAUCAAGUCUGUUGAUUUAGCAAUCUUCUCUUUUUGUAGAGUUGAAUUUUUUUUUCGAUACUGUAUUUGGGUUUUAUUGGUUGUCAAGAUCCUCGUUGAGGUAGCUGGGGUUGUUAGGAUUGGGAUUUGGUGUUGAAUGAGAUUUGGGGGUGGUGAUGCAAGUGAUCAUUGUCCAGCUGGUUCUGCUCUGUAUCAUCAGCUUUGCUUCAGCUGUGCAGGGAUCUGCUGGUACAAAAGUUUUCUUGCCUUUUUACAUGUUCCACUGUGAUUUUGAGCACUUGGUGUAGCUGCUGAACUUAACGUUUGAUUAGAUGAUAACUGAUGUCUUGAUUUAUCAAGUUUCACUUAGAAAUUGUAAGGUCUCGUAACUAUAAAGAAAGUUGCACAGAUCUAUCCCUUCGUUGGCUCACUGCUAAUAUUGUGCUGUUGCAUUCAGUGAUUCGUCUGCAAUGACUAAGCCGGAGCAUGAAUUUAGGAGAGGUAAUCCGGCAGAGGCAUGUCAGAUCCGUCAUUUGAGCUAUUGUUCUUCUCUUGAUUUCAAUGUGCAAUUUUUAUGCAGAAUUGUGUAAAAAUCGCACUUGGCGGUCCUUAUUGCAAGUUCUAGUUCCAAUGUUUUCCCAAAUUAAAAUCGUAGGUUUCAGCAUUGUCUCUUCACAGCUAAAGCUUUUCCAUCUGGGAAAUGCUUGCUAGAUGAUGGUUUAUCCCAUGAACGGCCAGGCAUGGUUUGC